rnacentral:rRNA from 1 species
CAAUAGCGUAUAUUAAAGCUGUUGCGGUUAAAAAGCUCGUAGUUGGAUUUCUGUCAAGUACAACUGGUCCGCCCUCCGGGUGAGCACAUAGUUUGGUCUUGGCAUCUUGCUGGGAAUUGUUGCUGCACUUGGCUGUGUGGCGCAGUGCCCAGCACUUUCACUUUGAGGAAAUUGGAGUGUUUCAAGCAGGCAAUGCCUUUGAACACAGUAGCAUGGAAUAAUUAGAUUGGGCUUUUGCUCCAAUUUGUCGGUUUCUGGAGCUGAGGUGAGAAUUAAUGGGGAUUGUUGGGGGCAUCCGAAUUUAGCCGUCAGAGGUGAAAUUCUUGGAUCGGCUAAAGACGGACAACUGCGAAAGCGUUUGCCAAGGAUGUUUUCAUUGA